rnacentral:lncRNA from 1 species
GGAGAGCUCACGUUUUGUUUUUACUGCACAAAUACUGCAUAUGGAAUCUGAGUGAGAAGUUACUCCCUAAAAAUUUCAAAAGUGUUUUUGAGAGGUACCUUUGAGCGAAUCUUCUGGCAACAGACUCAAAGAAGUCAUCCAAUAAGUAGAAAUUCUUCUAUGGAAGGCCACACACAUUAAUAGCAGUUCUUUCAAGGCGAAUUAUGCCAAGCCAAUCAAGGAAUUGCUGCCAUGGCAUGUAGUUGUGGUUUCUUAAUGUGUUCGAGUAACUUCUGCACAAGGAAUCAAAUUAAUCUUUAAAUCCGUGAAAUUAAAAGGGAUGCAGAAUUACAAAACUAAUAAUAAGAACAAUAAUAAUAAGAUGGAUAGAAGCAUGACCUGCCAAUGCAUGAUUUCGGCAAGCCUUUGCUUUGGUUCACCACUUCCCAAUGUAGUAAGAAUUUCAACAGCAUCCCAGAAUUUCAAUAGCAUCCCAAUGAUAACUCAUACUUGAUGAGCCUUGAUGGAGAAAUGAAAGUCCAGUUAAAAUUAUUCAAAAUGCAUAUCCACUCGCCAAGAACAUAUGCACCCAGAAAUCUCCUUAAAUAAAUAAGGUUUUAACAAGGUGAAUGCUUUGCUUUUUCUUUUUUUGGGAAGAACUUCAAAGUAAACAAAGGUAAGACUAUUGGGUUUUGAUGUUUACCUUGUGUGGGAGAAAUGUGAUGUUUACCCAGAAAUCACAUUUUGUUUUCAGAAUAAAUGGUUUUUUCCACCUCUGCAUUUGACAUUGAAAAAACUUGAAUAAAUACCAAAUAAUUAAGAUAUGCUGCUGAUUUAAUUUACAAAGGAAUGGCGCAUGUGAAGAGAAAUUGACAUAUGACAAUCACCUUCAGCACAAUCAAUUCUCAUCCUAAUUUAGAAGACUAAUCAAACUAAUUGCAGCAAUAACAUCUUUUCCACGAAGUCUACUAACUUCUGCACAUAGAGUCAAAAUUAAUCCGUUAUAUCCAUGAAAAGAAUGAAGGCAGAAUUACAUUAAAAAAUGAAUAAAAAUGACGGUUAAAAGAAAGACCUGCCAAUGCAUUUAAAAUCUCUUUGAAUUUGUUUCCCACAUCCCAAUUUAUUAGAAUUUCAGGUGAGUAAAAAACAAAUAAAUGAUUCCUCUAGCUUGAUGAGCCUGUACAUGUGGGAAAAAAGUGUUAAAAUAUUAUCAUAAAGCAAAUAAAUUCUCAAUUAUACAAAAAAUAAAAGAAAGAAAAGGUACUCUGUAUAUUGAUCUUGAUUGUAAAGAAAUAAUGACAAAAGGUACUCUGUAUAUUGAUCUUGAUUGUAAAGAAAUAAUGACAAAAGGAUACUUACGAACUCAAAGGUAAUACACUGCUCAUUUUGGAAGAAACACAUCCAACACUUCAAAACUUAUCCUUCAUUGAUCUGUGUAAAUAGAAUCAUAGAGUGAAGAUUUUCUCAUGUAAGUUUAAUUUGCAAAUUGGAGAGAAAAAGGACCAACUUACCGAAGCUUCAUCAUCCAGUAGAUAGCGGCCCUCUCUUUGAAUUCUUUGGUCAUCAACUUCAAUAUUUGGGAUGUGAGAAAUGAAAGCCCAAUCCGCACCCUUUCUAUUUCCACAUCUUUCCUUCAAUUGGGGACGGUCAUUGAUAUUCAAUUCUCGUAACGAGGUGAGGGAACGCAUCUCUUGAGGCAGACACUUUAUUGCCGGACAAAUCUGAAUGGUUAGUCUUUGAAGACAAGUGAGAUUCCACAGUCCAUCUGGAGGUAGAGAUUCCAGCUCUUCAAUGUCCGUAAUCUGAAGGAUCUUCAAUUUAGAGAGAGGAGGAAUGAUUGAGGAAGAAGAAGAGAUUGAUGGUGUGAAUAUUUGGUGCACAAGUUGUGGGCUUGCGCAGUGCAAAUAUAGUGAAUGAUCGAGAGAUGGAAACUGAGGGAUGGAGUUCAAAUUAGGGCAGUCCCUACAAACGAAAUACGAAAGACAAGGAAAUUGGAGUAGCUCAAGAGCUGUCGAAUCAUCCUUCUUCUUCUGCAAUCCUUUAAGCUUAGGACAACCAUAUAGCACGAGAACCCUUAGGGAUGGAAAGAAUGAUGUUGCUUGUCCCUCAAUCUCAAUGUACUCUAAAUCAUCUACUUCACGAAUAUGUAGAUAUUGAAGAGAAGGGAUUUGAUCCAUUGGUGGGAGAUGCUGAUAUCUAUUGCAAUUCCGUAUACAGAGAUAGACAAGAUUCGUGAGGGAAGAGAACCAACUUGGGAACCUCCUGCCUCCAUUGCCAAGCACACGUAACUCUUUAAGAUUGGGAUGCGGUUGGAGAUUUUGGAAUGCCAUUUCAUCUCUAUCAACAUUUGAAUCUUCCCAACUCUCCUCGCAACGUAAUUCCAAUGAUUGAAGGACUGGUUUCUCUUUCAUAUUAACAUUUACAAUCUCAUUAUCCACACAACCCAGAUUUAUAAUUUCAAGACGUCCCCUCAAAUUCUUAAGCUUAUUCAGUUCAUUUAUUUUUUCAACAUCCUUUGAGGAAAUAUGCCCUUUUGCCACUACGAACAGCGACAACGUCUGAAGUGAAGUCAACUGCCCAAGCCCACGUGGCAUAUGAGUCAAAGAGUAACAACCUUCACAAUAUAAAUGCCUAAGAUUUACAAGCUUUUUAAUAUCUUUAGGCAAUUCUUUGAGCUGGACACAGUAAGAGACAUCUAAUACUUGUAAAUUCAGCAAAUCGGUAAUAGAAUGUGAAAGUGCUUUAAGUCCCUUGUUAUCGGAACGUCAAGAUAUCUUAUAUAUUUUAGCAUUUUUAAAGAAUUAUCCAUCGUUGUAUAUGAAUGCAUCAUAAAUACACGUAAAAAUUUUAAAUUUUUAUAAAUAAAUAGUUGAUCGCAAUCAUAUUUCUCAAGCAAAAGAAGCGAUCGUACUCUUUUUGCGUUAUUAAGAAUUUCUUUUGAUGCAACAUCCAAAUUCAAUGCUACAUGAUGGAUUUUCUCAUUAAUAUUUAGUAUAUCAGAAUUUACUAGCUGAAUCCUCUUCCCACCCACUGUGGUUGCGAGAUCGUGCAUUAAAUCAUGCAUUUUACAGCUCUCUACAUUUCCAUAUCUAUCUCUUUCCACUUCUUGAAAAAAUGACCUCCACCACAGUUUCAUAAAAUAUUCAAGCCUAAUAUCUUCAAGAUAAUCACUCGUACUUGGUGACUCAAUAAACCCUUGUGCAAUCCAAAGAUGGAUUAAUCUUUUCACAUCAAUCACAUAAUCUUUUGGAUAUAUUGCGCAAUAUGCAAAACAAUGCUUCAAAUGUGAUGGGAGAUGAUCAUAACUUAGCUUCAGUGUUGGCAUAAUAUCAUUACCAUCUUGACUUAUUCUUGAGAGUUCUUUUGUUAAAAAGGGCAGCCACUCAGUUUCUGGAUUUUUCGCAUACAAGAGACUUGCGAUGGUUUUUAUUGCAAGAGGAACUCUAUGACAUUUCUUCAAAAUCUCCUUUCCCAUCUCUCUUACAUUUGCAUGUUUUGGCUCCUGCCCCUCAAGUGCUACAUGCAAAAACAAAGACCAAGACUCAUCCGGAGACAACCCUUCCAAAACAUGUGGUGCCAUUGUGCUAGAUAUAUCUGCCACCUUUUUAGAGCGAGUGGUUAUUAAUAUCUUACUUCCACUAGAGCCACCCACUAAUAAUCUCUUUAAAUUCUCCCAUUUUUCUCUAUUCUCAUUCCACACAUCAUCUAGAACAAGCAGAUAUUUCUUCCCACUAAUAAUUUUUUCCAGUCUAGACUUCAAUGCUUCUAACCCAAGAUCUUCCGGUCUAUUCCCUGUUGCAGACUCUAGAAUCUUUCCAACAGUCAUUUUCACAUCAAAAGGUUCUGAAACACACACCCAUAUUCUUGGCUCAAAUGAAUUCUUAAUCAAUUCAUCAUUGAAUAUGAUUUGAGCAAGAGUGGUCUUCCCUAAUCCUCCAAUUCCAACAAUUGAGAGGACUGAAACACACUCUUCACCAUUGGAAGACAAUACAAGUUCUGUAAUUGCCUUUUUGUCACCCUCUCUCCCAAUAACCACUUCAGGUAAAGAGGACGUAGUUUGAUCCCUCCAUACAAUACUCUCCUGAUCCGUACGAAACUCUAAAUUAAAUUUUCUGUCAGCUUCAAUAUCAGCUAGCCUCUCCCUAAUCUCCUUAACUUUAUGACCCAUUUUAAAACCAUAAACAAGUUGAUUUGAAGACGAAAAGAAGAGACUUACCUCCUUUGUCAUUCUAUUUCCAGUCAUCACUCGGCGCCUUAGAGCUUCUGUGGCGAAGUCAUCUACCAAGUCAUCAGCAUCAUAAACAACUUCUUCUAGCCUCUCAAGCCAGCCUUUCACUUGACGGUUAAGUUUCUGCUGCUCCUCAGCAUCCAGAAGAACGUUGCGAAUACUAGAAACUGUGGCCUCAAGUUUCUUAAGCUCACCUUUGACGCCCCACCACAAUCCGAUCUCAUGAAGGGCUCGAGAACCCAGCUUGGUAAUGAUAUCUCCGACAACGUUAGAGAGAACUCCGUCGGCCAUUUUGGGCGUUUUGGUUUGAUUGUAAAAGGAUGAAAUGUUGCUGUGAAGAAGAAGACGGUGACAACAAAUGACUGAUUUAAAGAAAAAAAAAGAAGUGGAGGAAAAAGCAUUCUUCUAAAUGAUUAUCUUCGGUCGGUCAACUUUGAACGGCGCUGGUUUGCUUUUUAAAUAAUAUAUUAAUACAUUUAUAUAUAUACAGAUGGAAAGAAAGUUAUUUUUUAAAAAAUAAUUUUAUUUUUUAUUAGAAAUGCAUUUUUUUUAAUUAAAUUUGAUGAGUGAUUCAAAUAUUAAAAAAUAUAAAAUAUAUAUAUACAGAUGGAAAGAAAGUUAUUUUUUAAAAAAUAAUUUAAUUUUUAAUAGAAAUGUAUUUUUUUUAAUUAAAUUUGAUGAGUGAUUCAAUUAUUAAAAAAUAUAAAAUAUAUUUUCGAUAUUGCUGAGAUUAAAUUGAUGUUGUAGUCGGAAUGAAACUGUACUAUAAUUGGUUAGAAUUUAUAAGAGAGGAAAUAUGAGAUAGUGGUGGGUACCUAUAGCAGCAAGGCAGUGAUGAGUACCUAUGACAGCUACUGUGACGCUAAAGUCAGUAUUUUGAAAAAUAGAAAAAAUUUAAUGAAUAACUUAGAGUUUGAGUAGUAUCAUAGAUAAUGUACCUUUAUCUUCGUAAUCGUUCUCCUUUUAUACUAUGAGAAAAUGUAUAUAAAUAUAUCAUGAAACAACAGGGCCUAAACUGGUCCAAAUAACUUUUGGACUCACUUUUCACUUGACCCAAAAUGGUUAAUUCAGGUUAUUUAGUAGUUUCGUGCUAGCUAUUAUAUACAAUUCCAAAAUCUCCCGAUGUGGGACAGCUUUCGCAGCGGAAGCGAACAGCUGACCAUUACACUCGAUCCCGCUAAAUUUGCGACGUCCUCGUCGCAGUUGAAUUGGAUACAAUUGCUAAUUAGGACCGAACCCUUAGGUAUUGUGGUUCGCUAGUACGUCGGGCGGCUCCACCUCGUCUCACACGGGUAGCUCUUUCCUUACAGGCUCACUAGCUCUACAUAAUUUGUUUGAUCUAGAGUGGCUCUAAUACCAAUUGAAACAGUCAGGUCCAAACUUGCUCAAAUAACUUUUGGACCCACUUUCUACUUUGCCCAAAAUAGUUAAUCUAAGUUAUUUAGUAGUUUUGUGCUACCUAUUAUAUACAAUUCCGAUUUUCUAUAAUCUCCCGGUGUGGGACGGCUUCCGCAGUGGAAGCAGGUAGCUGACCGUUGCACUUGGUCCCGCUAAAUUUGCGACGUCCUCGUCGCAACUGAAUCGGAUACAAUUGCUAACCAGGAUCGAACCCUUAGGUAUUGUAGUUCGCUAGUACCUCGAGCGGCUCCACCUCGUCUCACACGGGUAGCCCUUUCCUCGUAGGCCCACUAGCACAAUUUGUAUCUAGGGUGGCUCUAAUACCAAUUGAAACAGUCGGGUCCAAACUGGCCCAAAUAACUUUUGGACCCACUUUCCACUUGUCCCAAAAUGGUUAACUCAAGUUAUUUAAUAGUUUCGUGCUAACUAUUAUAUACAAUUUCGAUUUUCUAUAAUCUCCCAAUGUGGGACAGCUUCCGCAGCGGAAACAGGUAGCUGAUCGUUAUAAUCGGUCUCGCUAAAUUUGCGAUGUCCUCGUCGCAACUGAAUUUGAUACAAUUGCUAACCAAGACCGAACCUUUAGGUACUGUGGUUCGCUAGUACCUCUGGCGGCUCCACCUCAUCUAACACGGGUAGCUCUUUCCUCGCAGGCCCACUAGCUCUGCACAAUUUGUCUAACUCAGGGUGGCUCUGAUACCAAUUAAAAUAGUCGGGCCUAACCUGCCCCCAAAGGUUUGACUUUUGAAUCUGUGAGCGGACUUUAGGCCGUCGAACCUGCUGCCGAAAGUGCCCUGUCCAGCCUUUUUCAGCUUGCUUCCUACGUGUGUUCUUCUAUGUUCUUAGGGGGUAGUUUUAAGUGUUGUAAAAGUUAUAUUUGGUUCCUCAUUUAAGUCCAUCUGUGUAGGAUCGGACUUGGAAGAUCGUAGAAACUUGCAGUAAGAUAACUGUAUCAAAAUUAGGCGUGCGUCAGCCAGAGGUGAGUAGAACUAAACUCAAUUAUUAUUUUAAAAAAACCAAAUGUUUUAAGCAUACUUAUGCAUCACAAAUGCUAUGUAUAUAUAUGAUUAUGGUGCUUUGCAUUAGAAUUCACGAAUAUAAUGCAUUGCAUAAUUUAUUAUUGUUGUUGAUGUAUGUUAGAUGACCUUCUAGCCCUCAAGUAUGUUAUGGUAUGUUAUGACGGAUAUGGAAAGAGCAGGACUUGCUCAUUCUACGCCCUUGGCACUGUGUAAGGGAAAGACCAGGGUUACACAUUUUAUAUCCGUGGCACUAUGGAUAUGUUAUUUUAUGUUUAAGAGGAAAUUCUGAAAAGCGCUUGUCGUGGGCUGGGCACUAUUGGAAUCUAUAGAGAGUCACUGGUGACAAGUCUAUCUUGAUAUGAAUUGUUUGUGUUGUGACACAUUUAUACGAUCAUAUGUCUUAUUAAACUGCUUUUGUUAUGUUUCUGCUCACUAGCCUCUUAUAGUUUAUCCCUUUUCCCUAACUCCAGAUUUGCAGGAUCAGAAUUAGCUCGAGAGGUGGGCCGAGGUGUUGGUAUAGUCCAUUGUAAUAACAUAGUUGUGGACAUGUAUUAAUUUGUGAAUUUGAAUUGUGUUUUGCGUGAGUUUUCUUUAUAAUCCUUAUUUUAUGAUUUUUUUAUGUAAAAGAUUUUAAGUCUAAAUUAUGUUUGAACUAAGCUUGAGGUGUGUAAUAUUGACUAUACUAAAACAUUUGAUGAGAGCUCUAGUAUGAAUUUAUGUUUCCAGUUCUGAUACAUGCGCAGGUCAAGUUUUUGUUAUUGAAAUAGAAGUGUUUUUACAUGUUUGUGUGAUUAUGUAUGGAUCUAUAUCAAAUGUAACAGGAUGUAUAGUAAAUUUGCUAUGAGUUCCGGCAACCUUAGAUUGAUCUGAACCGUAGUGCCGAUAGCGGUCUGAGUUGCAGAUGUGGCUCCGAAUUGAAUUAUUUAACAAAGUAUGGGGUAUCAAAGGAAAAAAGUGAAAACUUUGGGUAUUGACUUCAUUCCUUUGGAGGUUAGUCUGAAGGACACUAUUGAAAGCUUGAAGGAUAAGGGCUUCCUCAGCAUUUAAUAUUGGCUGUUGGAUAAAAAGCAAUGCAAAUAUUACAUUGGCUUUUCAGGUUCAUUGGCUUUAGCUUCCUAUUGGUGCAAGAUAUUAUUACCCUUCAGGAUUGUCUUUAUUUGAAAAAAGUGGACCAAUACAAUUUGUAAAAUACAUAACAAUUUGUAUACAACUGUAUAUAAACAUAUUACAUGUGUCACUUGUUUCACUGGUGGAUGAAGUUCAUUUCAGGUCUGAUUUCUGAGGAAGUUACUCUUUUUUUUAUCUGAUUUCAGGUCUCAUUCCAAAGAAUAAGACACAAGAAAAAGAAAAUGUGUAAUCCACCAAUUCAGAUUUAGUUCAGUCUUUUCAAAGUAUAUUCAGAUUUCAUAGCCAACUCAUUUUAUGCUGUAUCUGAUUUCUGGUUCUUGUGAUAUGCUCUUACAAAAUUCAUCUAAAAUUCAGUGCUCUUACACAUUCUGGAAACAACAAUUUAUACAAAAACUGAUUUCUCAGGGAAAAAAAGGAAAAUAAUGUUAUUUGCAUUGAAUGAACAAAUGAUUAGCAUAGUAGCAAAACUACUUAAAAUAAGAGAAAUUAGAAACAAAAAAGCAGCACAGCAUGAGUCUGGGCAUUGCAUGUUGGAUGAUCGAAACAGAGGUGUUGAGUGAGAAUCUAGAUCCUGAAAUACGCGGGCCUGCAAAAAGUCAUUCGAAGAAGUGUGCAAAACUCCCAUCAUUCAGCUUUCAUUUCUGCUUCCGGCUUAGCAGGAUUACUAUGUACUGAGUUGUUUUCUGAACUGUGACAGAUAGGAAACUUAUCCCGGUGAGAUUUUAUUCCGGAAUGUCAAGGGCACAAUGCGUAGCUUAGUGAAUCUCCAUCAUCUUUGCCGCAGGUGUAAGUUAUGAAGAUAAUUGCUAGAUGGAGGAUUUUCACACUAGUAAUUUAGCAUCUGUUUCAAGCCAGAAUCAUCAUUAAAUCACAGAUUUGCUUUACAAGCAAUAACUAGGGGGAUUUCAUAUUACAAGUAGUCUUUAUAACUUACUGAAUCGCUUAUUUUUGAAGACAGAGGAUGAGGAGAGCUCACGUUUUGUUUUUACUGCACAAAUACUGCAUAUGGAAUCUGAGUGAGGAGUUACUCUCUAAAAAUUUCAAAAGUGUUUUUGAGAGGUACCUUUGCGUGAAUCUUCUGGCAACAGACUCAAAGUAGUCAUCCAAUAAGUAGAAAUUCUUCUAUGGAAGGCCACACACAUUAAUAGCAGUUCUUUCAAGGCGAAUUAUGCCAAGCCAAUCAAGGAAUUGCUGCCAUGGCAUGUAGUUGUGGUUUCUUAAUGUGUUCGAGUAACUUCUGCACAAGGAAUCAAAUUAAUCUUUAAAUCCGUGAAAUUAAAAGGGAUGCAGAAUUACAAAACUAAUAAUAAUAACAAUAAUAAUAAGAUGGAUAGAAGCAUGACCUGCCAAUGCAUGAUUUCGGCAAGCCUUUGCAUUGGUUCACCACUUCCCAAUGUAGUAAGAAUUUCAACAGCAUCCCAGAAUUUCAAUAGCAUCCCAAUGAUAACUCAUACUUGAUGAGCCUUGAUGGAGAAAUGAAAGUCCAGUUAAAAUUAUUCAAAAUGCAUAUCCACUCGCCAAGAACAUAUGCACCCAGAAAUCUCCUUAAAUAAAUAAGGUUUUAACAAGGUGAAUGCUUUGCUUUUUCUUUUUUUGGGAAGAACUUCAAAGUUAACAAAGGUAAGACUAUUGAGUUUUGAUGUUUACCUUGUGUGGGAGAAAUAUGAUGUUUACCCAGAAAUCACAUUUUGUUUUCAGAAUAAAUGGUUUUUUCCACCUCUGCAUUUGACAUUGAAAAAACUUAAAUAAAUACCAAACAAUUAAGAUAUGCUGCUGAUUUAAUUUACAAAGGAAUGGUGCAUGUGAAGAGAAAUUGACAUAUGACAAUCACCUUCAGCACAAUCAAUUCUCAUCCUAAUUUAGAAGACUAAUCAAA